ACGAACUAAUUAACUUCUGAAUAAUUCGGGUUUUUAAAUGGUGAAUUUUAUACAGUCGCAGUUAAAAUUUCAUAAUUUGAUCAUUACUAAAUAAAGAAAUCCUGAGAAUUGGGUCCUAGCCAAACUGGACACCUACGUCAGCAUCCGUCCAAAUAAAUUUAAACCACACUUUAGGCAACUUCCUGUGUUUCUAUGAUCUGUGGCAACUUCCAACUUUAUUCCAAGGCUACAGAUAUCAAAUAAGAGUUCCAGUUUAAUGGUUAUGCAUACCUUUAUUUCAUUUACAAUACGUCUGCUGGUUCCACUUUUUCCUGUUGUUUUCCAGCUAUUACAUACGAAUUGAUUCGUUUUUUACAGAUUAGUGAACAUAAUUGAAUUAAUAGUAUGACGUAGUUUGAAAACACCAUAACACAAUCCAGCACCCAAGCAAUUAAUUACUCUGGCCGCAAUUUCAGUUUCAAUAGGUCCAUAGCCCGUCCUUCUUCAAACGAAGUUUAAAAGGAGUCCUAAGCAGUAAGCAGCGGCUUGAAUGUAUCCAUGACAUUGCAUCAUCAGUAUCUGACUUUAAAAAAAAAACUUACUCUUAAUUGUAUUGAUGAAUUCCAAUAAAGUAAAAAUAAGAACACUAGUAAUUCACACCAAUCCAUUAAUUUAAUUUACGACCUCAUCGUAACAAAAUAUUUGUUGAUAAAUAUUUUCCAUAACGAUAAUACCCGCUCAAGGAAACGCUAACUAUUAAAUAUGGAGAAAUGCAUUUAUAUUGUCGGACUGGCAACUUCUGGUAACGCAGCGACUUGAAAUUUAUUGUCUGAUACACACAUUUGUUUUGUUGCCAAGAGGUCGGUUAUAAAUCUUGGGGAUUCGGGAAAUACUCCUAUGACGUUUGUUUUGAAAAUAUCCCAAAUAGACGACUGCAUUGAUAGAAACUGAAAUUCGUAUUACUUUAAUGUAGCUUAUUGUAUUGGAAGACAAAACUAAAUUCAUUUAUAGCAAAUCGGAAAAUAAAUAUCAGUCAACUUCAAAAUAGUAACUAUGUGUUUGAGUAGAGAUAUUUUAAUCCUACCUUUAAGGUAGCAGGGCAGCUGUGCGGGUGGGUGUAUAACCCUUUCGUUGCUCGCUACCCAAAGGCACUAUCCGCAUUGAGACGUUGAGACAGUUUAGCGGUAGGCAGCGGCUUGGCUCUGCCCCUGGCAUUGCUGAAGUCAAUCGGCGACGGUAACCACUCACAAUCAGGUGGGCCGUAUGCUCGUCCGCCUACAAGGGCAACAAAAAAAAAAAAGACAGAAUCCGAGUAUGUAGGCAUGUAGACUAUCAGUCAAACAGUGCUAAAUACGUUGAGAAGUAACCGGCAGAUAAACUUCGCUCCGUAUCGGUCACCCACUUGGCGUCUAGCAACAAAGAGGCAAAAAAAAUCCCACUCAAUCUCAGCUGCUUCCUUCCGAGUGGUAAUACAAUAGUAGAAGUCUAGCAUCGCCAGCCAUUGGUCGAAUCCUGCCGUGCGAUUCUGUAAGCGUUGUUUAACAAACUCGCACGUGAAUUUGGUGUGAGUUUUCAAAUUGGCAUUCUGUAAAUUUCAUUGUAGUGCCGAAUCUACACUAGCGCCCCUCGCGGGUGAAUUGAACUAGCAAGCGUGAGUUUUUUUUACUAAAAUGUAUGAGUUGACGUUUGAAACGGCAUUCUGUAGUGUAAAUCACGUCGAAUUUCGGCAAGAACUUCGCAUCGCAAAAUCAUUUUAUUUGUCAAAUCAAAAGUUAGUGUUUUAAGUGUUUGUUGUGAGUGAGAAUAUACGAAAACGUAACCGCUGUUAAUUAUUAAAAAAAUACUAUUAAUUAACAAAAUUGCACUUUAAAAUAACUUUAUUCUUCAUCGAUAUUUUAUGGGGCAUAUGUUUUUAUUGAAAACAUUGUUGAAAAGGCUGACGCUACGGAUCAGCGUGAAAUGCGUCGACAAGCCUACGAAAUUCACAAUUUAUCACUUAACUUGAGAUGACGACUAUGUAAAAGUAUUAAGAAAGUGUAUAGAUUGUCGAAGGAUCAUAUGAACCAGGUAGGGUGUGAAUUACACCCCUUGACGAAGACCACUAAAAGCCAUUGAAAAGGACUUUCAACUCUUCUAAAGUUUCAGUUAUUGUGCACCUUGUUUAUUUGGGCAAAUGGAGUUACCAAAAAAAUCAUAAAAGAAAAUAUAAGAACAUAUUUGUCCCAGAUAUCCCAGUGUAUAUCUGAGGUUGUGGAGGCUCUGAACAACCCAGAAACUAUAUAUAAAUAUUUAAGAUUCCCGCAGAAUGCUCAAAAAUGGCAAAAGUUGAAGGAAAACUGAAGAAAAAAGAAGAAAGUGGUUUAAACUAAAUAAAUAUUUUUUUUCUUCAUAAAAAAGUACCAAUAUUAAUCUAAUGCUAAAUAUUGCAGUUUUUGUAAAAAAAUUAAAAUCACUUUGGUUGUUGGGUGUAUUGAUGGGACAUUGGUGGCCUUAAAAAGACCUGCUACCAAUAAAAAAUGGUUUUACUGUCACAAAGGCUAUCAUGCCAGAAAAUGUACAAUUUGUAAAGCCAUUAAUAUUUUUCGAAAUUCUGAUGAUAUGUAAUCCAUAAACGAAAUGUGUAUUAUGAACUAUGUAUUCAGAUUGUAUUCAUUUCAGUUAAAUUGAAUUGUGUAUAUUGCUUUAAAGUUAUUGUGAAAUUUAGUAUUUAUAUUAAAUAAACUUUCUUCAGUUAUAAAAAAAACAAAAUAAAAUUAGUCAAUGACAGCAAGUAAUGACCAUUAUAAUUAUUCAACAUCUUUUCGGUCUUUCUGUAUAUCCUCAACGUUCCAACCUUAUGACACCUUUUGCUAAUUUUUUUUUCAUUUCACCAUCUAAAUGGUUAGACGAGCUCACAGCCCACCUGGUGUUAAGUGGUUACUGGAGCCCAUGGACAUCUACAACGUAAAUGCGCCACCAACCUUGAGAUAUAAAUUCGAAGGUCUGAGUAUAGUUACAACGGCUGCGCCACCCUUCAAACCGGAACGCAUUACUGCUUCAGAAAUAGGCGAUAAUGCUAUGCUAGCUAAUACCUGCUAAUAAUGGCUAGCUAAUGCUAAUACGGGGAGAUACUCCUGAAGCUUUGUAGCACCACCUUCAUUCCACUGCCCGUAACUCAGUGAAAAGAACAAUAGUUCUGUUAAAGAGUAGAUUCAGGUGUUUGCUGAUCCAUAGGGUGCCAAUUUAUCACCCUGAUAAGGUAGCAAAAAUAGCUGUUGCGUGUUGUGUUUUGCACAACAUUUGCAAUUGUGCAGAGCUGCCAGUUCCCAUAAUCUCAGAUUAUGAGAUUACAUUUACAUUAUGGUGGUCAUGUUGAAUUACUUUGUUAAAUUCUACUAAUUAGUAGUCGUAGUAAUUUAGUAGUCGUUGUGGCCUAAAGGAUAAGACGUCCGGUGCAUUCGUAUCGAGCGAUGCACCGGUGUUCGAAUCUCGCUGGCGGGUACCAAUUUUUCUAAUGAAAUACGUACUCAACAAAUGUUCACGAUUGACUUCCACGGUGAAGGAACAACAUCGUGCAGUAAAAAUCAAACCCGCAAAAUUAUAAUUUGCGUAAUUACUGGUGGUAGGACCUCUUGUGAGUCCGCACGGGUAGGUACCACCGCCCCGCCUAUUUCUACCGUGAAGCAGUAAUGCGUUUCGGUUUGAAGGGUGGGGCAGCCGUUGUGACUAUACUGAGACCUUAGAACUAUAUCUCAAGGUGUGUGGCGCAUUUACGUUGUAGAUGUCUAUGGGCUCCAGUAACCACUUAACACCAGGUGGGCUGUGAGCUCGUCCACACAUCUAAGUAAUAAAAAAAAAAAAAAAAAAAAAAAAAAAUUAGCUUACUUAUAGUGUGAAGUAACUUCAAAUAUAAAUUAAUGAUUUAUAAAAAUA